UACGUAGGUCCCGAGCGUUGUCCGGAUUUAUUGGGCGUAAAGCGAGCGCAGGUGGUUUAUUAAGUCUGGUGUAAAAGGCAGUGGCUCAACCAUUGUAUGCAUUGGAAACUGGUAGACUUGAGUGCAGGAGAGGAGAGUGGAAUUCCAUGUGUAGCGGUGAAAUGCGUAGAUAUAUGGAGGAACACCGGUGGCGAAAGCGGCUCUCUGGCCUGUAACUGACACUGAGGCUCGAAAGCGUGGGGAGCAAACAG
rnacentral:rRNA from 1 species